rnacentral:rRNA from 1 species
CAGUAGCCGCGGUAAUACGAAGGGGGCUAGCGUUGCUCGGAAUGACUGGGCGUAAAGGGCGCGUAGGCGGCGAUCAAAGUCAGGCGUGAAAUUCCUGGGCUCAACCUGGGGGCUGCGCUUGAUACUUGGUUGCUUGAGUGGGGAAGAGGGUCGUGGAAUUCCCAGUGUAGAGGUGAAAUUCGUAGAUAUUGGGAAGAAUACCGGUGGCGAAGGCGGCGACCUGGUCCUUGACUGUCGCUGAGGCGCGAAAGCGUGGGGAGCAAACAGGAUUAGAUACCCCCGUAGUCCCUGUCUCUUAUAC